AGCACCACAACGGGUGGAGCUUGCGGUUUAAUUGGAUUCAACGCCGGAAUCUUACCGGGACCGACAGCAAUAUGAAGGCCAGGCUGAAGACUUUGCCGGAUUAGCUGAGAGGUGGUGCAUGGCCGUCGUCAGUUCGUACUGUGAAGCAUCCUGUUAAGUCAGGCAACGAGCGAGACCCACGCCCACAGUUGCCAGCGUACUCUCUGGAGUGACGGGUACACUGUGGGGACCGCCGCUGCUAAAGCGGAGGAAGGAAUGGGCAACGGUAGGUCAGUAUGCCCCGAAUAUCCCGGGCUACACGCGAGCUACAAUGGUUGGUACAAUGGGUAUCUACCCCGAAAGGGGACGGGAAUCUCCUAAAACCAAUCUUAGUUCGGAUUGAGGGCUGCAACUCGCCCUCAUGAAGCUGGAAUCCGUAGUAAUCGCGUUUCAACAGAACGCGGUGAAUACGUCCCUGCUCCUU
rnacentral:rRNA from 1 species